rnacentral:rRNA from 1 species
UACGGGGGGAGCAAGCGUUGUUCGGAUUUACUGGGCGUAAAGGGCGCGUAGGCGGUCAGCACAAGUCAGUUGUGAAAUCUCCGGGCUUAACUCGGAAAGGUCAACUGAUACUGUGCGACUAGAGUGCGGAAGGGGCAACUGGAAUUCUCGGUGUAGCGGUGAAAUGCGUAGAUAUCGAGAGGAACACCUGCGGCGAAGGCGGGUUGCUGGGCCGACACUGACGCUGAUGCGCGAAAGCGUGGGUAGCAAACAGG